rnacentral:rRNA from 1 species
UAGAGUUUGAUCCUGGCUCAGAGCGAACGCUGGCGGCAGGCUUAACACAUGCAAGUCGAACGGGCGCAGCAAUGCGUCAGUGGCAGACGGGUGAGUAACGCGUGGGAACGUGCCCUUCGGUUCGGAAUAACUCAGGGAAACUUGAGCUAAUACCGGAUACGCCCUUAGGGGGAAAGAUUUAUUGCCGAAGGAUCGGCCCGCGUCCGAUUAGCUAGUUGGUGAGGUAAUGGCUCACCAAGGCGACGAUCGGUAGCUGGUCUGAGAGGAUGAUCAGCCACACUGGGACUGAGACACGGCCCAGACUCCUACGGGAGGCAGCAGUGGGGAAUAUUGGACAAUGGGCGCAAGCCUGAUCCAGCCAUGCCGCGUGAGUGAUGAAGGCCCUAGGGUUGUAAAGCUCUUUCGCCAGGGACG